rnacentral:rRNA from 1 species
GCGAAUCUUGAGGUGCUUGCACCUCUUGGUUAGCGGCGGACGGGUGAGUAACACGUGGGCAACCUGCCUGUAAGACUGGGAUAACUUCGGGAAACCGGAGCUAAUACCGGAUAAUCCUUUUCCUCUCAUGAGGAAAAGCUGAAAGUCGGUUUACGCUGACACUUACAGAUGGGCCCGCGGCGCAUUAGCUAGUUGGUGAGGUAACGGCUCACCAAGGCGACGAUGCGUAGCCGACCUGAGAGGGUGAUCGGCCACACUGGGACUGAGACACGGCCCAGACUCCUACGGGAGGCAGCAGUAGGGAAUCUUCCGCAAUGGACGAAAGUCUGACGGAGCAACGCCGCGUGAGCGAUGAAGGCCUUCGGGUCGUAAAGCUCUGUUGUUAGGGAAGAACAAGUAUCGGAGUAACUGCCGGUACCUUGACGGUACCUAACCAGAAAGCCACGGCUAACUACGUGCCAGCAGCCGCGGUAAUACGUAGGUGGCAAGCGUUGUCCGGAAUUAUUGGGCGUAAAGCGCGCGCAGGCGGUCCUUUAAGUCUGAUGUGAAAGCCCACGGCUCAACCGUGGAGGGUCAUUGGAAACUGGGGGACUUGAGUACAGAAGAGGAAAGCGGAAUUCCACGUGUAGCGGUGAAAUGCGUAGAGAUGUGGAGGAACACCAGUGGGCGAAGGCGGCUUUCUGGUCUGUAACUGACGCUGAGGCGCGAAAGCGUGGGGGAGCAAACAGGAUUAGAUACCCUGGUAGUCCACGCCGUAAACGAUGAGUGCUAAGUGUUAGAGGG